ensembl:snoRNA small nucleolar RNA, C/D box 12B
CGUGUGGUUAAUGAUGACCUCUCUUUCCCCGACUUAUCGACCAUGGUGAUACAGCUGUCAAAUAAGCCAAUUGGAUUCUGAAACCACAAG